ACGCCAUUUAACUUGACUGGCUGACUGGUGAUUUUGAUAAGGUCCGUCUCUGCCAACCAUUCAGACAGACCUGAAAAAAGAAAAAUGAUUGGUCCGAGAGGGAAGGCAGCAGGUCGGUCCUGUAGCUGAGUUUGAUAACGGGAAGAGUAAGCAGCACCUGCACUGCGUGGAGGGUAUUGGAAAGGUCCUGGACAAACUCAGCUGUUUCUCAAAAUUCUCAGAAAGACCCUUAUUCAUCGUCUGGUGUCGUUUAAAGCCCAUUGAAGCUGCCCUGAAACGGUCAUUUGGACCUUGAAC